rnacentral:rRNA from 1 species
UACGUAGGGUGCAAGCGUUGUCCGGAAUUAUUGGGCGUAAAGAGCUCGUAGGCGGUCUGUCGCGUCUGCUGUGAAAACUCGGGGCUUAACCCUGGGCCUGCAGUGGGUACAGGCAGACUAGAGUGCGGUAGGGGAGACUGGAAUUCCUGGUGUAGCGGUGAAAUGCGCAGAUAUCAGGAGGAACACCGGUGGCGAAGGCGGGUCUCUGGGCCGUAACUGACGCUGAGGAGCGAAAGCAUGGGGAGCGAACAGG